ACACCCUCAACUCUCAUGGUUUGCCAUGAUGAGCUUGGACUUUUGGAGGUUUUGCUGGCCUGCAGUCAGCUCCUCUCAAACGGAUCAGCUUGCCAGUGUUUGGUGGCGUCACAGGUGUGAUAAACUAUCUACGCUCGUUGUCGUCUGCCAAGUAACCUUUGGUGACAGAGGUUUGCUGGAGCUUAUAAACGUCUCCCCUCAGCGAAGACAGCUUUUGAAC
rnacentral:misc_RNA from 1 species